CGCACAAGUAUUUAGUAGGUUGGAAAUUUUGGAUACAAAUACCAAUAGGCCACAAACCGGUUUUGAUUUUCAAUUAAUCCCAAAUCCCAAUCUUAAUCCGUUUCAGAGAUUGGAUCAGCCCCGGUCCGGGUCAAAAUUCAGUCCCUAUUUUGAUUUUCGCAUCUACAAAUAGAUUCAAAUAAUAAGUGGACGGCUACCAGAAAUACAUGAAUGGUAUCAGAGCAGAGUAGCCACUUUGCCAAAUUUAACUUCACUGAAUAAGUAUCAUGCUACAGAGUCUGCUUCUCCGUGCUUCUAAUUCUAUCUCGCUACCGUUGCCUAACCGUCACCAACUCUCUCCGUCUCCAAAACCAUUCUCUGCUUGGAUAGACGCAGCUCCCUCUGCUGGACAAUCGCCCUCCAAUUAUCGAUCUGCACUCCCUUCUCUCCGCUGUACUGCUGCUGGUGGAGGAAGUGAGUUGCAGCCGCUACAAAAUCAGGGAAUGGCCGCUCAAGACGAGAAAGAUCCUCGAAUAGCGAGGAUUUCCUCUUCAAUCAGGAUCAUCCCUGACUUCCCCAAAAAAGGGAUUUUGUUUCAGGAUAUAACUACGUUGCUUCUGGAUACUAAGGCGUUCAAGGACACGAUAGAUUUGUUCGUUGACAGAUACAAAGGGAAAAACAUCUCCGUCGUUGCAGGUAUUGAAGCAAGGGGUUUUAUAUUUGGCCCUCCGAUUGCAUUGGCAAUUGGUGCAAAAUUUGUGCCCUUGAGGAAACCUAAGAAGUUGCCUGGGGAGGUUAUUUCAGAGGAGUACUCAUUGGAAUAUGGAAAAGAUGUAAUCGAGAUGCAUGUAGGUGCUGUACAAGCAGGAGAACGGGCAUUGGUAAUAGAUGAUCUCAUUGCAACGGGAGGGACAUUAUGUGCAGCAAUCAGCCUACUUGGUAGUGUUAUAAAGCUUAAAUUAUAGUGUAGUUUAUCAUUUUUGGCUGCCUAUUUAGUCUUCAAUAUGUUUCCCUUUAAUAUAUUUAUUUAAUUGGUUUGAGACUUUAGAGGAGUGAGCUUAUGCGGUUACAUCGUUUUCCUUUUCAAUUGAAAGGGGAUUCUCCUUUGAGGAGGAUGGAGAAUGUAUUGUUUGAAUUGGCAUCUGAAAGUCAAAAUCUUGUCUGGGAAGCCAAUCUAAGAAGAAGUUAGGGCCAUCUAUGUUGUGCAGCGCUGUUGUCCUUGCAAGAGUUAGGUUUGCAUAGCAUAAGAAAUGACCUAUCCUUUAAACAUUGAUGUUUUGAUUUAUAGGUGAUUGAAACUUUUGUUUUGGUUUAAUGAUGUGUGCCAGUUGCUUUUGGUCUGCCUACACCUAAAAGUUUGUUGAAAUUAUGCUCAGUUGUUUGCAGUCUCAUCAAUGGUUAUUAAAUAAUCACCUGCUGGUUAUUCUUCUUUGUGUUGUCGGUGCAUGCAUCUUCACAUCAUUAAUUAUUUGUCAUUUUUUUGUUGCAGAGCGUGUUGGGGUACAUGUUGUCGAAUGUGCUUGUGUCAUUGAAUUGCCAGAGCUGAAGGUAUGUCCUUUAUUUCUCAUUACAGGAAUAUCCAUGUCACUGGUUACAAUUAAUCAUAAAACCUUGCAUGACUGGAGGGCCUUACUUCUUUCAUUUUUUUUCUGCUUUCUUUUUGUAUCUUCGGUAGAAUGUCCUCUCCGUGAGUUAUUUCUUCUCUUGACGUUCUCAUUUUUCUAUCAAAAAAAUUUUCAUUGUUGCCUCUUACAAUAUCAAUGUUUACUGUCUUAUAAUUUCUCUAAAUUAGAUAGAGCUAGUCACUGACUUUCUCUUGCCUUCUGCUGCUACUUGCAUUUAAUCAUAUCUUGUGUAUUAGUUUCAUACUAUAUGUGUGCUUUUCUUGUUCAUUACAGGGCAGGGAACGGUUAGAAGACAAACCACUGUUUGUUCUCAUAAGCGGUUAGAAGACAAACCAUUUUUUCUUGGAGUGCCUAAUAACUAUAACCCUUCUCAAAGUUAUGAACUUGAUAAAGGUGAAGGAAACUUGGUAAUAAAGUAUGAGGACUCUUUUUUUUAACUUCUCUUUUUGGCUUGAUUGCAUUAAACUCUAAUUUUAAUUAUUGUUGGCUUUUAUGGCCAUGUGGGUUUGCGGUAGGGGAAUGACCAUCCUUGAUGUCUGGUUUUGGGGCAGUGGAUGGAUUGGGUACACCAAAUGUCAUUUGUUUCCCACAUAGUUAUUUCAUCUUGGUGGGUGGAGCAUGAAUAUGAAAAAAUGGGAGCACUAAUGUUGUCCCUUAACAGACGCCGGCCCACUUUUGCCUGCUUGCCUGUAUGCUUCUCUAUGUCGUGUUAUGCUACUAUAAUUUGUGGACGCAAAAGAUUCUGCAUUUGAUGCCUUUAUAAGAUUUAAUGCGCUUGAAGCUGAAUUCCUCUCUUUUCUUAAGUACAACUAUUUGUUUUUCUGUUUGAAAUUGCCCCAGAAUUAAAGGGUUAAUUAGCAACAAAAGAGCUUAUUGUCAAUACCUGAAUGUGACUGUAAUGCAUAUAUGCUUGGGUAUAGGUAAGAACUUUUCAGGUGAUGAUUAUUGACAAAACAAGUCAUGCAUGUAUUUGUAGAAGCAAUGCUAAACUACAACAUGGCAAGUUCUACAAAAUUUAGAAAGCUGAUUAGCAUGGCUAUCUUCAACUGUAUUCCCUGCGUAGAAGAUGAUAGUUACGAGAGGCAUUGGGAACUCUCAUGUUGACCUUAGAGCAUUUUGUGUCGAAGGUCUUCAGUGAUGAGCAUCCGAAUUCUAUUAUUAGUAUUAGCAGGUAAAGUCUUGAUGAACAGUAGAACGAAUUCAAAAAAAGGGAAGAGCUUUGCCUUCCAAUGAGCUGGAAUCCGAAGUGGACUUCGCACUCCAAUCCUUUUAACUCUUCUAGUAAGCAAUAUAAUUUUCCUCUUAAAUGUUCAGAAACUUUGCAGGCAAGAAAAAGGUGGUCUCUGCUGUCCAAACCAAAGAACAAAUAGAACAGAGAGCAUUUGUCUCCCAUUGCUGUUGCCUAGAGGGAUAAGAAUUAAAAGUAGGGCCAGGUUAAGCAAUGCAACUUCAGGAUCUCUGUUACUCUGCAAUCCAAGCAGUAGAUGGAAGAUCUCCAAUUCUUUGCUGUAUAGAAUUUCUUUUGCCUCCAAUGUGGAGACAUAACCCCACAAACAGGGCCUUGUAUACGUGUGGACUAUGGAAUCAUAAAGCCUAACUGCAGGCCAAUAUUCUUUCGGUUGAUUUAUUUCUCAUUGAGACUGACCCUUUGUUUUGAUUGGGAAAAACAGAGAGAAAGGAAAAGAAAUUUGAUUUGUCCAAAAUCUCUUAUUUAGACAUCAAAUAGAGAAAGGAAAGGGAGAGAAAGAAAGAGAAAUUUUAUUUCUUAACUCUUUUGUAAUUAACCCAAAACAUGUCCAUCCAAAUUGAUAGGAAAUGAAAAG
rnacentral:misc_RNA from 1 species